UACGUAGGGGGCAAGCGUUGUCCGGAUUUAUUGGGCGUAAAGAGCGUGUAGGCGGUUUGGUAGGUCCGCUGUGAAAACUCGAGGCUCAACCUCGAGACGCCGGUGGAAACCAUCAGACUAGAGUCCGGAAGAGGAGAGUGGAAUUCCUGGUGUAGCGGUGAAAUGCGCAGAUAUCAGGAGGAACACCAAUGGCGAAGGCAGCACUCUGGGACGUGACUGACGCUGAGACGCGAAAGCGUGGGGAGCAAACAGG
rnacentral:rRNA from 1 species